CUUUGCAGACUCUGCUAAUGUGUUCCCCUCCUGAAGGAUACAGCCUCUAUGACCGCAGGCCCACAUCUUACUAAUCUACAGCCCUGGAAAUCCACAGAGGCUGCUGUCGCAGAGAAAUGCUCCUCCUUCCUCCAGGCAGCCCUGGGUGAGGACACCUGUGUUGGGUAUCCUAAAACUGCUGCCUCUCUGGUGGAAGAGGAGCCUCCAACCACGAAAUACUACAAACACCACAAUCAGUCCUCAAUAACGUGCUGAAUGCCUGGAAGUCCUAACCCAUGCCACAGGCCUGCCAGAGGGAAAUUUUAAAGUCCAGCAGGAUCUGGGAUGGGAUAUAGGCUGGCAAGGUAAUAAUCACACCCAUUUGACUGAGGAUGCCUUGAAAUGAAACAUGGCAGCUGUGGGAAAGAAGAAAGCAAAUGUUGAUGUGGAGACUGCCCCUCACCACCUCCUUCCUCUGCCAAAAUGCAACAGCAAGGUGAUUUCUGGGAACGUUCAUAGUGUAGGAGUUCUCCGACAGCAGUAAACAAGUUACCUGCACAGAGGUGGCUGCAAAAGCAAACUGAAGUAGGAGUUGAUGAGGGAAAAUCGGAAGGCACAGUUAUCGUCAGUCAGCGAGCCGUGGUCAAGUUCAACAAAAGAUUUAAACAGAGCUCCUUUUGCUUCAGAUGAAAUUCUCAUCUGCACUAUGAUGACUCACAGGCUGCAAACCAAGAAAAAAAGGAGAAGAAAUAAUCACCAGGGAAGGAGUGGUGUACAAAAUGGAGGUCAUUCCAAAAGCAACCUGUGGGAGGAUCCACUCUUGUCCACGUGAAAUCAUAACUGCGGCACAGAGCAGGGAGAGGACGGUGAUGAGGUUAUGCUCCUGUUGCUGCUGACAGACAACAGCCACAACAAAAAAGGCACAGUUACUUAACACAAUCCCUGACGGUGAGCAGACGCUGGCAUUUCAAACCAUAGCUGAGCUGGACCUUAUUCAUCUCCUGGCAUGAGCACUUCUUUCAGGGGGAAAAUGUUUAUUUCAGGCAUGGGAACAGCCAGGUGGAGAAACAAAGACUUACCCUAAGCCACCAUUUCAAAUCCAUGGUGGAGACAGCAACAAAUGUCAGGGGACUGCCAGUCCCUCGUUCCAACCACAAGGCAAUUCCUGUUUCCCAGUGACUUCAAUAGCUGGCCAAGACCAAGCACUGUGGCACUACA
rnacentral:lncRNA from 1 species